rnacentral:rRNA from 1 species
AUUGAACGCUGGCGGCAUGCCUUACACAUGCAAGUCGAACGGUAACGCGGGGCAACCUGGCGACGAGUGGCGAACGGGUGAGUAAUGCAUCGGAACGUGCCCAGUAGUGGGGGAUAGCCCGGCGAAAGCCGGAUUAAUACCGCAUACGACCUACGGGUGAAAGGGGGGGAUCGCAAGACCUCUCGCUAUUGGAGCGGCCGAUGUCAGAUUAGGUAGUUGGUGGGGUAAAGGCCUACCAAGCCUACGAUCUGUAGCUGGUCUGAGAGGACGACCAGCCACACGGGGACUGAGACACGGCCCAGACUCCUACGGGAGGCAGCAGUGGGGAAUUUUGGACAAUGGGCGCAAGCCUGAUCCAGCCAUGCCGCGUGCGGGGAGAAGGCCUUCGGGUUGUAAACCGCUUUUGUCAGGGAAGAAACGCUCUGGGUUAAUACCCUGGGGUAAUGACGGUACCUGAAGAAUAAGCACCGGCUAACUACGUGCCAGCCGCCGCAGUAAGAC